GCUCUCGUAGCCCAAUUGGCAGAGGCACUGGUCUUAGGAACCAGCGAGUGUGGGUUCGAGUCCCUCCGAGAGCA
rnacentral:tRNA from 1 species